rnacentral:lncRNA from 1 species
GCUGGUGGUCACUAAAAUUGAUGUAUAAAAGUAAAAAAUGAUGGCUUCAAAACAGUGUAUAAAUUUGAAAUAGGUUUCCCGGUUUCAUUUAAGAUUAUAACCGUUCUUUUCUGUAUUUGGAUACGCAAACGUCAAAUUAGGAAAAAUCGAUUUUUUUGGCGAACAAAAAAGAUGGCUAUUUUUUUUUAGAACGGACAGGAU